rnacentral:rRNA from 1 species
CACGCCGUAAACGAUGGAUACUAGGUGUAGGAGGUAUCGACCCCUUCCGUGCCGGAGUUAACGCAAUAAGUACCCCGCCUGGGGAGUACGGCCGCAAGGUUGAAACUCAAAGGAAUUGAC